CCUGGUCACCACAGAAAGCAUCCAAAACUACUUCACUAGAAGAAACACCUUCUUUGUACACUUCUCUUACAGUAUGGACUAAUUUUUUCCAGCCUACUCUUUUUUGUUUCUCUAACUGUAUCACUUCCCUGGCUGCAAUAGUAGGCCUUAGUAGCCCUGACAAAUUGAUUAUGAAGAUAUUUAAUUAUUUGUCUUCUAAAGCUGUAUAAUCUGGAAGCGGUAGCAGGAACAGAGAUUUACAUGGAAGAGAAAAGAAGGUGGAGGCAUUAUUCCCCCAUGAACACUCCAGUAUUGCCAUAACUCACAUGAAACCUCCUCUCUCUGUUCCCCAGCCAGAGCUGCAUCAUGAGCAGCUAACACACUCAUUAUUCUUGGCACAGAAAUAAAUUAGAGAGUUAACCACUGAAUGCUUAGAUCAUUUGGGAAAAUCAGUGAAACAAUCUCUACCUACACAAGCAUAUUCGAGAAGGAUUACAAAUCAUGUACAAUGUUUAUUAUAUCUGCAAAUGCACAAGAUAAUACAGUAGCUGUUGCCCUCAUUAUAUUAAAACCAACAAAUAAAAUGUAAGCUUUGCAAAACCUUUGCUCAUAUAUAUAUAUGCAGGGUCAGCUUUCCCCAUGCAUGGUCACGAAAGGCCCAGAGACAAGGGUGUGAACAAUGAUGCUUCCCUGCAGCAGCACAAGCCCCAUCUUGUACAACCUGCACAACCUGAGAGCCAGGAGAGCAAUAAGGUGAAUGAACCUUCAGAACAUGUCAAUGUCUUGGUACUUUAUAAUUCUACAACACAAGUAAUGAGAUCUUAUCAAAACAUGAUUUAAUGUCAUGACUCGAGCUGGAUGGUGAGCACAGGAACAUUGCUAUUUGAAUUUUAAUUAAAAUUUCAUUAGGUAUCAUAUUACAUUUUAAAAUUAGUAUUUUGCUUCUAAGCCAACAGUUGAUUGUGUAACUGAAGGCUAUCUACAUCACAGCCUUUUCCAUACCACUGCAAAAAUAAUUCCACUGGUCUCAAGAAUAGUCAAGAACGGAGGUCUCUUAGUAUGUAUGUGUUACAUAUGCAGAUCAACUUCCAAGUUGUUUUUUAAUUAAAAUUAUUAUUUGCCAUCUUCCUGCCUGCCUGAAAAGGCAAAUACAGUCCUUACAUGACCCUCCUCCAACUCUCCUUCCCAAAAGAGUGUCAUGUGUCACCAGUGAGGAUGGCCAGUGCCCCACCAAUACACUAUUUAUUGUGCAGCAGUCAGGAACAGAGAAAGGCACAGUCUCAGUGAGAAGUACACCUGGGGACAUCGUGCUCUAUCAGGAUUCUAUUAUUCUCUAGACAGAAUGAAAAAUAGCGCUCUAAAGCACCAGCAUGUUCCCUGGUUUUAAAAAUAUGGUGCUUCUAUUUGGAACUGAAAUUAAUUCAGCCAUGGUAUGCAGUCCUUUAUUAAAAGGCUCUUUGAACGUAAGGAAACAGAGACACUUGAAGAAGUCACGCGUCCGAAGUUGUUUGGGAGUGAUUUCUUGUUCCUUCAGAGUGUGCACUCAGCUGUGGGCUGCACCCCUGAACGAACAGCCCCUCUCACUGCCCGGGGAGGCACCCGAAGACAGCUCUGGGGGUCCCCAGGCUGGAACAGGCAGCUUGCACCCUGAGCCGAGGGGCUCGGCCGAAAGGCUCCCACAGGGGCUGCCGGAGGGCGCGGUGAGCCAGGACAGUGCCCCGGGAGGAGCCCUGGCAGCUCUGACCCGCUCCGGCCGCCCCAGCCUCAGCCCGGCUCCCGGCAGCGCUCCUGCCCUCACACCGGCCCAGCCUCAGCCCGGCUCCCGGCAGCGCUCCUGCCCUCACACCGGCCCCAGCCUCCACCGCAGCCUCACGUCCCGCACCGCCAGCGCUCGCACAAGUGCCCCUGUUGCUGCAGUGUACUGCAAACGAAACAAGUGCACCCUUAUAUAACAUCGUUACAAUUCUAUUGCAGUGCUUCCUCAGAGACAGCAGCGCCUCAGCGACCGAGGCUCGGCCACACUGAGGGACAGGAGGCACCACGCGGCUGGACACCGAGUGCUCUGUAGCUUGCACAAAAAUAGAGGGUCUCUGCAGGGGCAGCCAUUGCACCCAGGAGCAGGAGCAAACCCACCCAGCUGCAGGAGAAAACAAGUGAGCCAUCAGUAACUUGAAGAAAUACCAAAGUGGGGCACCAAAUUCAACGAGCUACUACAGGUGUGGGAACUGCAUGAGUUGAUGUUCUUGAAAUGAUGGAAAACUGAAAACAGAGUUUCUCCAGACCACACUCACUGUUGAGCAUCAGCAAGUCCUGCAGAUACCAUGUCCUGUCAGCUUCUGCAUAGGCUGUGAUCAUUCCACAGGCACUUCCCAGAGCACAGCCCAGCUUGGCACCUCUGAGCAGCACCCAGGGAUGUGCAGAGCCAACAGCUCCCUCCUGCCCAGGAAUGCUGCCAGCCCCGCCUGCUCCUCCCAGCUCCCCAUCACCACCACCUCCAGCCAUUCAGGACCAAGGCUGUUCUGUGGUCCCCAGAAGAAAGAGAACUUAAGCAAGUGCAAAAGGCACACGAGCAGCUAGCACGUGAUCUGUACAAAACACUGUGCCAAAAUACUGCAAUAAGAGGUAGAAGAGGAAGAAAAAGAAAAGAAGCAGCUACUACUCCAUUUAAGGUGACUGAUUAAAGAAAAAAAAUGACAGGUCAUUUUUAAUUCCUUGCUGGCAGUAGCUAGUCUCAUUUCACUGCCUUUAAUUUCUCCUUAGGUCUAUCUGCAAGUUUAAUAAAGUCUUUAUGCAUGCUCA